rnacentral:rRNA from 1 species
AUUGAACGCUGGCGGCAGGCCUAACACAUGCAAGUCGAGCGGAUGACGGGAGCUUGCUCCUUGAUUCAGCGGCGGACGGGUGAGUAAUGCCUAGGAAUCUGCCUGGUAGUGGGGGACAACGUUUCGAAAGGAACGCUAAUACCGCAUACGUCCUACGGGAGAAAGCAGGGGACCUUCGGGCCUUGCGCUAUCAGAUGGGCCUAGGUCGGAUUAGCUAGUUGGCGGGGUAAUGGCUGACCAAGGCGACGAUCCGUAACUGGUCUGAGAGGAUGAUCAGUCACACUGGAACUGAGAAACGGUCCAGACUCCUACGGGAGGCAGCAGUGGGGAAUAUUGGACAAUGGGCGAAAGCCUGAUCCAGCCAUGCCGCGUGUGUGAAGAAGGUCUUCGGAUUGUAAAGCACUUUAAGUUGGGAGGAAGGGCAGUAAGCUAAUACCUUGCUGUUUUGACGUUACCGACAGAAUAAGCACCGGCUAACUCUGUGCCAGCCGCCACCGUAACAC